GACGAACGCUGGCGGCGUGCUUAACACAUGCAAGUCGAACGAUGACGCCCGAGCUUGCUCGGUCUGAUUAGUGGCGAACGGGUGAGUAACACGUGAGCAACCUGCCCUUCACUCUGGGAUAACCUCGGGAAAUCGGGGCUAAUACCGGAUAUGAGCUCCUGUCGCAUGGCGGGUGUUGGAAAGUUUUUCGGUGAAGGAUGGGCUCGCGGCCUAUCAGUUUGUUGGUGAGGUAGUGGCUCACCAAGGCGAUGACGGGUAGCCGGCCUGAGAGGGCGACCGGCCACACUGGGACUGAGACACGGCCCAGACUCCUACGGGAGGCAGCAGUGGGGAAUAUUGCACAAUGGGCGAAAGCCUGAUGCAGCGACGCCGCGUGAGGGAUGACGGCCUUCGGGUUGUAAACCUCUUUCAGCAGGGAAGAAGCGAAAGUGACGGUACCUGCAGAAGAAGCGCCGGCUAACUACGU
rnacentral:rRNA from 1 species